AGCAGUCGCCGCGGUAAUACGAAGGGUGCAAGCGUUACUCGGAAUUACUGGGCGUAAAGCGUGCGUAGGUGGUGGUUUAAGUCCGUUGUGAAAGCCCUGGGCUCAACCCAGGAAGUGCACUUGAAACUGCGAGGCUAGAGUACUGGAGAGGUUGGUGGAAUUCUCGGUGUAGAGGUGAAAUUCGUAGAUAUCGAGAGGAACACCGGUGGCGAAGGCGGCCAACUGGACAGAUACUGACGCUGAGACUCGAAAGCGUGGGGAGCAAACAGGAUUAGAUACCCCUGUAGUCCCUGUCUCUUAUAC
rnacentral:rRNA from 1 species